AUUCAACAACUGAACCUUUCGAAUUCGAAGGAUCUGAAGCAAUUGAUUGUCAAUAAUUGUGAGAGCUUAGAUAAAAUUUGCUUCCAUGAAAAUAUAAAAUCCCUGGAACGCUUUGAUAUGGAUGGGUGCAAGUCGCAUAUCAAAGACUCUUUAGCACGUGACAGGACAUGAUUCCGGAGGGAAAGAGUGGCAAAAAGCUGACUAAGGCUCAGGCUAAAGUUAGAUUUUGCAUUUGAUAAUACUAAAUACAAAGAUUUGAAUUGAGGACGCUGCCCUGCAUGAAAGAAUUGUGAAAAAGAUUUAGAUUAUGGCAGCAUGACAAAGAUCUGAUUCUGGAGACUCCUAAUGUAGCAGGAACUGGGGGAAGUUGUUCGAGCAAGUAAAUGUGAUGCUUCAGUGUUAUCUGGCUUGUGGUCAUGAUGAGAAUAAAAAGAUCAGGAUGACUCCAAACGUAUAUUAGAUGUCUUCAGUCAAAUAGUAAGAGAUUCUUCAUCCUCGACAUGGUAUCAAUAUGCACUUGGUUCAGUCAUUGUUUGCUAAUGACAAUAUGCCUCAGAGGCUUUAAACGAACAGAGGAUGUUCGCUGUAUUGUGGAUAACAGUGUCACAUCCAAACCAGAAGUAUGGAGAACGUCGUUAAAUCAACUGCAUUGCUUUCAUGUCUUUUGGAUAAAAAUCACAAGUUCCCAAUGGGGAGCUAGAAAGCUGCAACUGAACGGAAUUGGAAAUUCACUCCUGCAAUAAGCAGUUGUGGUUUCAACCAGAAAUGUGCACCAUUUUGGCUAGGCUGAUGGCGGGGGGAAAAAAUCUUCGGAGCUCGGGUACCACCUAGCUGUUUAUGGAAUUGAAAUGAUGUGGGAGGAGCUGUGCAUAUGAUUUUUACUUAUGUAGAGAGCUUAAUUGACACUGCAUCAGAAGCGAAGACUUCCAACUACAACUGUAAUCUUGACAUAGGAAUAGCUCAUUGGCAAUAUUAGGAGUGCAAAUUGACUUGGAAGAUACUAGUCAAGUUCUUUUAUUAUCAUUUACACAAUAUUAAUUU